UACGUAGGGCGCAAGCGUUAUCCGGAAUUAUUGGGCGUAAAGAGCUCGUAGGCGGUUCAGUAAGUCGGGUGUGAAAACUCUGGCUCAACCCAGAGACGCCACCCGAUACUGCUGUGACUUGAGUACGGUAGGGGAGUGGGGAAUUCCUGGUGUAGCGGUGAAAUGCGCAGAUAUCAGGAGGAACACCAGUGGCGAAGGCGCCACUCUGGGCCGUAACUGACGCUGAGGAGCGAAAGCGUGGGUAGCAAACAGG
rnacentral:rRNA from 1 species